GAUGAACGCUGGCGGCGUGCCUAAUACAUGCAAGUCGAGCGAACAGACGAGGAUCUUGCUCCUCUUACGUUAGCGGCGGACGGGUGAGUAACACGUGUAUAACCUACCUAUAAGACUGAGAUAACUUCGGGAAACCGGAGCUAAUACCGGAUAAUAUAUUGAACCGCAUGGUUCAAUAGUGAAAGACGGUUUUGCUGUCACUUAUAGAUGGAUCCUCGCCGCAUUAGCUAGUUGGUAAGGUAAAGGCUUACCAAGGCUACGAUGCGUAGCCGACCUGAGAGGGUGAUCGGCCACAUUGGAACUGAGACACGGUCCAGACUCCUACGGGAGGCAGCAGUAGGGAAUCUUCCGCAAUGGGCGAAAGCCUGACGGAGCAACGCCGCGUGAGUGAUGAAGGUCUUCGGAUCGUAAAACUCUGUUAUUAGGGAAGAACAAAUGUGUAAGUAACUAUGCACGUCUUGACGGUACCUAAUCAGAAAGCCACGGCUAACUACGUG
rnacentral:rRNA from 1 species